UCCUCUGAUGAUGAAGGCCCAAUGACCCUCUCCCGCAUCCGGGCCAGGUCACCAAGCACAUGGGGGCAGCAGAGCAAGUUGCAAAGUCUAUCCAGUGGAUGGCACAACUGCAAGGACCAUGGAUCAUCCAGCAAAGCCCAGGCUUGGUCUUACCAUUUGCUCCCUGAAUCUGUCAUGCAAUCAACAUGCUGGGUUGCUGGUGAGUACAAGAAAAUUAGGAUGACUGCGGAACAGACCUGAACCUACCUGAAGCCUCAGAGACGAGCUCAGCCUCGCCUCAGCCUGAAG
rnacentral:lncRNA from 1 species